rnacentral:rRNA from 1 species
UACGUAGGGUGCGAGCGUUAAUCGGAAUUACUGGGCGUAAAGCGUGCGCAGGCGGUUUUGCAAGCCGGAUGUGAAAUCCCCGGGCUCAACCUGGGAAUGGCAUUCGGGACUGCAAGGCUGGAGUGCGGCAGAGGAGACUGGAAUUCCUGGUGUAGCAGUGAAAUGCGUAGAUAUCAGGAGGAAUACCGAUGGCGAAGGCAGGUCUCUGGGCUGACACUGACGCUCAUGCACGAAAGCGUGGGGAGCAGACAGG